AACGCACGAGACCUGCGGACCUGCGGAAGGAUCAUUAUUGAAUAAAUGUAUGAUAAGCUGUUGCUGGCCUCUCUCUUGGGGCAUGUGCACGCAUGUCAUUUUUAUUUCUCUACCUGUGCACUGUUUUGUAGGCCUGAGGGGAGAAGAUAUUGUCUGAGCUAUUGGACAAGUUUAUAGAGGACUGCUGUGCUUUCUGUCAUCCAAAAAGGGAGCCAGCUUUGCCUUGUCUCCUAGGUUCUA
rnacentral:misc_RNA from 1 species